GACGAACGCUGGCGGCGUGCUUAACACAUGCAAGUCGAACGGAAAGGCCCUGCUUUUGUGGGGUGCUCGAGUGGCGAACGGGUGAGUAACACGUGAGUAACCUGCCCUUGACUUUGGGAUAACUUCAGGAAGCUGGGGCUAAUACCGGAUAGGAGCUCCUGCUGCAUGGUGGGGGUUGGAAAGUUUCGGCGGUUGGGGAUGGACUCGCGGCUUAUCAGCUUGUUGGUGGGGUAGUGGCUUACCAAGGCUUUGACGGGUAGCCGGCCUGAGAGGGUGACCGGCCACAUUGGGACUGAGAUACGGCCCAGACUCCUACGGGAGGCAGCAGUGGGGAAUAUUGCACAAUGGGCGGAAGCCUGAUGCAGCAACGCCGCGUGCGGGAUGACGGCCUUCGGGUUGUAAACCGCUUUCGCCUGUGACGAAGCGUGAGUGACGGUAAUGGGUAAUGAAGCACCGGCUAACUACGUG
rnacentral:rRNA from 1 species